UCAUUUUUGUUUUGUUUGUUGAUACUUUACUUAAGAAUCUGAUGAUAUGAUGAACAUAAUUUUGAAAAUUUCUCAGCUGGCAGGAAGAGUUGAAGAGAAAAGGAGAUGGUCUGAGGGGAUUCACCAGACUGUGGAGGCAAAGGAAGGUUUGAAGAUUCAGGCAGAUUCUAUUGUUGUGGCACAUAUCACAUACUAGUCACUAUUCAAGCUUUACCCAAAGUUGUCAGCAAUGACUGGGACUGCCAAAACAGAAAAGAAAGAGUUCUUAAGAAUGUUCCAGAUGCCAGUCAUUAAAGUGCCCACAAAUCUUCCUAAUAUUCGAUAAGAUUUGCCUAUUCAAGCUUUUGUUGUAGAAAAUUUAAUAUUCAUUAUUGUUGCUUCUUAAGUAUCUUUAGAUUCAAUACAAUUACUUUUAUUUUAGGUCGUGGGAAAUGGGAGCUAGUUCGUCGAGAAGUUGAAGUUAUGUUUAGACAAGGUUAUCCUGUCUUAGUUGGGACAACUAGGUAAUUAUAGUAUUUUGUCAAAACAAUAUGAAUCCUAGCAUGUCUAUGGUUGCCUAAAUGUCUAGAAAAAAUAAAAUCAAUUUGUAUCA